GCCUUCUUAGCUCAGUGGUAGAGCGCGUGGCUUUUAACCACACGUGGUUGUGGGUUCGAUCCCAUAGACGGCG
rnacentral:tRNA from 1 species